UGGCUCUGCUGGUUGUUCAGUAUCACCGUCUUCAGGAAUUGUGGCCUCAUCAGCAAUCUCUUCCUCUGUUACCUCUGAGGUCUUUGGAGACUCCGCCUGAAUCUCCACCUCACUUCUGACACCAUGAUCCGUUUGCUCUGCUGGUUGAGUCUCAAGACUCCUCUUUUGAAGCAUUGCAGUCUCGUCGAAGAUCACGUCUCUGCUGAUUAGAAAACCGGGUGAUCUG
rnacentral:lncRNA from 1 species